GUGCUCUGCCGUGGCAAGGAAGAAGAAGAAGAAGAAGACGGUGUCAGAUACAGAUUGCUGGCUGUUAAUUAGUUCAUGUCAUCGAAUUCUAUUCCCCAAAUAAAAUUUGCUAUGCUCACUACCUCAUCGUGGAGUUGCUGUGAUUUCCGGUCAGCUCUGAUUUCCCUCCGACUGAAUUCUACACGAUGGACAAGCAAAUUCAGGUCAAAUGUUCACUGCAAAGAUGAUUCUGAAGAGCUGCAUAGUGUUCUUUGGCUUGCACUUACUGCCCAUGUGAAGAGCAGUGUGACAUCUGCAGGGUCAGGCUCGCCUACAUUGCAAUUGGGGAAUACUCAUUAGUAGGGCAUCUGUUCAGAAGCCUUGUCGGUUAAUCGACAUGGUUUCGAUGCCAGACGACAAAUGUGUCUGUCAGGUUCCAGUCCCAAGACCCAAUGCUGGCCUUAUCUAUUCCUCUGCAAAUUUGCAAAUGGGGUUAUUUAUCUGGCAUAAUCAGAUGUAUGAAGUGCAGGUGAGCUUGUGAGAAUCUCUCUGCUUACUUCAAGACUUCAGCAGGGGGUGCCGACAACACCGUCGAGUAGCUCUUCCCACCGGGACGCGAAACAAAUGCCUAGACAGGUGAAUAUUGGCAAUGAUGGGCUUCUGUUCAUAUAUCCCUGGGAAUAACUGAAAAUGCUGAAAGUACCCCCUGUAGCUUCUCCCUAUGCUUCCUGCACUGAAGAAGAAAAAAGAAUGUGCUUUGAACAAAACUGUAAUCUGAAGAAUCAGCUGCAGCCAAGGCAAGUUUCCAGAGUAAACAUGGAAAGUACUUACCCUAGCGUGCCGAGGGGCACCCCACGGUAGCAGUUGCUCAUCCAUUUCUUGAACGGAUCGUAGACUGAGGCCUUCGUGAAAAUCAAACAAUUGUUCAACAAGUUCAGUGACUACUGACUAAUUAAGCAGAAAAAUAUAUUUGAACUGAUCUUUCAACAA